UGAAUUUUGGGGCGAGAAAAUUUUCGCUAAAAUUUAUUUCAGCAAUUGUUUGCAUUUAAGGCGUCACCCGACGGCCGCUAAAACAUUUGUAGUCGCCGCAAAAUGUCACGAUUUCAAAAUUUAUUUUUCCCCCAUCCCGAAAGUUUGUGUUUUCUUCGUUCGGCGAUGCUCUAUCCCUUGCCUGCUUUAACCCAACUAAUUACUUCAUCUCCUCGUAACGUUCGUUAUUUUAGGGCUUUGAUAUUCCUUCCAUUCCUGACGUCUCCUCAAUCUUUCACAUGAUCCAACCAUGCUACUUAAACCGUGAGGACGAAUACAUCUUGUUCCAACAAUAUUGGCAGCUUGCAAUUGACGAAUAUAUACCACAGUCGCUUCAAGGUUUUGUAGUUUGAGAAUAUUUCUCACAGGUGACAUGCUUGUGGAGCUUAGGAGAUUGUGGGAAAUAGGGGAGGAAAGUAGAAGACAAUUUGGAGGUUUCCCCUAAUCAGGAGGUCUUUGGUGAGGGGUGCCUUGGUGGAAUUAUGGUACCUAGCUCAGAUCAUAAACCCCUUUUUACCAUAAAAUAGAUAUGAUGUAAUAUUGUUAUGUCUGUCAGUAUGUAAACUUCAUUUAUAAAGAUCUAUAUGUAAACUACGUACUACUCAUUUAUAUUGAGAGUCCUUCUACAUCCACCAACUAAAUCUACCAAGGUUGGAUCCCGACUGACGUGGCAUGCCACGUGGAUUUAUUUUAAAAAAAUCUAAAUUGUGCUGAGCUGAAGCAUACCCAAAGCCAUACCAAUGCAGUAACCCCGAUUUUCAUUCCUGUUGCAGUGUAUAGCCAGCAAUCUUGCCGUAAAAAUCAAGUAUCACAGAGAGAUGGUUCUGAGAGAUUUUCCAGAAAUGCUUGUUUACCCUGCCCAGUGCACUACUUUCACCACCAACAAACUUCAUUCCUUGGUUAACUUGUCUUACUAGAAGUCAUGAAUUGUUAGAUUAUGAUGGAAGUAUGUAUCUCAAAUUUCUUAUCAGAUCCGAUUUCAAUUUGACCUUUCCAAAGUAACACCUUUUCUCUUCUUUUUAGCACCCUUUGUGGAUUUCUCUGACUUUGCCGACGGACUUGCUCUACAUCACUCUUCAUUCCUCUCUCUCUCUCCCCCCCGGGCGUAUUUCUCUUACCCCUUCCUAGCAAGUAUAAACCCUUAGAAAUUUUAUUUUAGGAAUAAUUCACCACACACAUGUGGAACCUUUUAGAGAUUGACUAAUAACAUCAUCAAUUAUGUUCCUAAAAUUGACAAAUGACUGAACGUUCCUAAAAUUAACAUCAUCAUAUUUUCCCCUAGACUAGGAAUCUUGAUGUUUCCAUUUCUUUCUUGUGAUGACGAGUGAUGCUACAGAUUUUCAAGAUUGAAGAACUGCCUAACUUUCUUCUGUUCUGGUGCUUCGAAUGCGGUUGUAUAACUGGAAUAUGAUGCUUUAUUUAUUUUGCCUAUGUGGGGUACGGAGUUCUUGAAUUGAUUUAGAUCUCCUCUUCCUUUCAUGUAGAUUCUGCACUGUCACCUACCACCAGCAAACUUGGUGGCUUGAAAACAUAUUUUCUGUUUUGAUUGUGUGCAGCCUUAUGUUUUGGCUUGAUGUUAACUUGCAUGAGUCAUAUUUUUAGCAGAGAACUUGAGAUCAGGACUAUGUAUAACGUAGUGGAAAUGUACAAAUAUAGGAAAAUUCAAGAAGAGCUGUGUCUUCUCAAACAAUGAAUCAUAAGUUUAUUGAUAAACUCUGUAAUGCUUACAAUAAUUUAGAUCAUCCCCCAUUACAUUAUUUGGUUCCUUAAUAAAGGAAGCUUAGGCAACUUAGGAAAUUAAUUCAAAAUGGAAAGUAGACUACUGUAACGUUAACAAACUAAGGUAACUUUUAUUGGAAUGGACAUAAAAUCUGCAAGAGUUUUUUUAGGAAAGAAUAAAAUCAGCAAUCAUCCUUGAUUUGUGCUUGAAUCUUCUGAUGGUCUCUCCAUUCCUGGUGUCACAUCUGCUGCAUCAGAUUCUACCCCACUUGGAAGGAAACUCGACCUCGAGCUAAUUUCAGGGUAUAAUGCUUCAUCUGGAGGAUGGUACUCAAAUAUGUCCGCAACAUUGAAAGUAGGGGAAACUAACAUACCAUCGGAAAGGUUAACCACAUAGGCAUUGUCAUUGAUUCUUUACACAACUCGACAUGGUCCGAACUUCUUGUGCUUGAGCUUGUUGCAUGUCCCUGCAGGAAAACGUUGCUUACGAAGGUGAACCAUCACCAAGUCUCUCUCUUGAAAAUUUUUACUCGCCUAUGCUUAUCAGCUAUCUACUUGUAUCACGAGUUGGACUUCUCCAAAUUGAGGCUGACAUGGGAAUGAACUUGCUGAAUUUUUUCAGCCAUAUUUUCUGCUGCCGUGCUGAGUCUUGGAAGCCUUGGAAGAGGAAUCAAGUCUAGAGUGUGUUUUGGGGGUCGAGUGUACACAAUUUCGAAAGGAGACUUCCAGUUGAUCGAUUGAUCAUAUUGUUGAAAGCGAACUCUGCUUGAGGAAGACAUACAUCCCGUUGUUUCGGCUUGGCUCCUGAGAUGCAUCGAAUCAUAUUGCCUAGUGUGCAGUUAGUCACUUUAGUUUGCCCAUCUGUUUGCGGAUGGCAAGUGCUGCUGUAGUUAAGUCCGGUAUCAAAUUUCUUCCAAAGAGUGAUCCAAAAGUGGCUAAGAAAUUUGACGUCCCUAUCAGAAGUGAUUGAUUUUGGGUUUCCAUGAAGUCGCACGACUUCCUUGAAAAAGAGGUGAGCGAUGUUGGAGGCAUCGGCUAUCUUUCCGCACGGAAUGAAGUGGGCCAUCUUCAAGAAUCAAUCGACGACCACAAAGACGGAGUCCACUCCAUGCUGUGUUCGUGGGAGGCCAAGCACAAAGUCCAUACUCAUAUCUUCCCAAAUGUUCUCGGGCACGGGUAGAGGUGUGUACAACCCGGUAUUUUGCGAGUGACCCUUCCCCACUUGGCAAAUUGGGCAUUUCUGGAAAAACCUUCCCCCGUCUCGUCUUAGCUGAGGCCAAUAGUAACGUUUGGAUACUUGGGCUAUUGUCUUGUCAAGCCCCAGAUGCCCUCCUAGGCCACCCCCAUGCAAUUCAUGUAUUAGGUGUUUGCGCAGUGACGCUCGUGGUAUGCACAAUUGGUUGCCGUGAAAUAAGUACCCAUCUUGGACAUGAAAAUCAGCCACGGGUUGCCUGAGUUCGCACUUCUUCCAUGCCUCUGAGAAAUCAUCAUCUUCCACGUAAAAGGUUUGAGAGUUUGGUGCAUCACUCUCAUAAAAGUGCUAGGUGCAUUUGACAAGCCGAAUGGCAUGACCAGCCACUCAUAGAGUCCUUCCUUUGUUUUUAAAAGCUGUUUUCCAUUCAUCGCAGGGCCGAACUCUUAUUUGAUGGUAGCCACUCCUCAAGUCAAGCUUGGAAAAAAAUUUUGAGCCUGCAAACAUAUCUAGCAUGUCAUUCAGUCGUGGUAUGGGAAAUCUAUAUUUUACGGUGAUUUUGUUGAUGGCGCGACUGCCCAUGCACAUUCACCAACUUUCGUCCUUCUUGGGGGUGAGUAAGGCCGGAACAGCACAAUGACUCAUGCUUUCUCGAAUCAGCCCCUUGCGGAUGAGGUCUUCAACUUGGUCUUGUAAGAUAUUGUGUUCAUUGGGGCUCAUUCAGUAUUGCAGUAAAUUGGGGAGACUAGCACCCGGCACCAAGUCAAUGCAAUGUUGUAUGUCACACAUGGGAGGGAGUCCAGCUGGUAGCUCUUGUGGGGUGAUGUCCAAUAAUUCUUUAAGAAAGAACUGCACGGUUGGUGGCAAAUCGGUUAUGGCCUCCUCUGUCCUUCCUUUCACGACUAGUGUCACAAUCUUGCCACAUUCCUUUGCAUCAAUUAGGAAUUGGUCUUUGCUCACAGUAAGAAAGCUAGCUUUCUUCGCAAGUGAUGUUGUGUCAGGCGGUCACUCUCCUGCAGGUAGCAGUGUCACUUUCCGUUCAUGCCACCAAAACAUAUACGUGUUAUCGCGCCCCCUGUAUGUGGUGUCCACAUCGUAUUGCCAAGGUCUCCCGAGUAACAUGUGACAAGCAUCCAUAUACACCACAUUGCAAUCUGCCACAUCAUUGUAAAAUUUACGAAUUGAAAAAGGAAUUUUAUAGGUGGUAGUUACCUUCAUCUCAACCCCCUUCUUGAUCCAAAUGAUCUUGUAAGGUUUGGGAUGCUUCUUUGUGUCUAGUUGUAAUGUUGAAACCAACGCCCUUGACACUAUGUUUUCACAACUCCCGCUAUCGAUGAUCAAGUUGCAAACUUUGUGAUUAAUGGUGCAACUAGUUUUGAAGAUAACAUGCCUUUGAGUGUGGUCUUCCUGCUUUGGUGCUAAUAGGAGUUGUUGAAUGACACAAUUCACCAAGUCUCCUUCAUCACCUUUGACAAGCUUACCUUCUUCCUCUGAUCCCUCGUCAUCUUCCCUAGCCGAGUCUUCACCAUCUGCUAUGUUGACUGACCUUCUUGCAGGGCACUUGUUGGAGUGAUGUCCUGGUUGGUUGCAACGGAAACAUUUACCGGUGAUCGGCCUGCUGUAAGGAUUGUUGCCAGUGCUCCCUCUACUCCCUGCCGGGGUGGUGUUGGACUUAGGGGCUUGAUAGUUAUUCUGUGUCGUUGGGUCUCGACUAGAGGAAGGAACAUGUGGUGGAUUCGGCUGAACAGGUGGUUCAAUUCCUUUGUUUGCUGGUGAGAAACUUGGUGUCCUAGUGGGGGGUUGGGAGAGUUGUGAUUCAAUCUUCAUUGCCAAAUUGACUGCUUCUGAGAGAGUCCAAAUGGUGUGUAGUGUCACUUUGUCUUGUAUGGCAACGCGUAUCCCUAAAAUAUACUUGGCCACCUGUUAUCCUUCUGUUUCUGAUAGGUUGUUCUGGAGUUUAGGCGAUAGAACUACUCAGUGUAUUCAUUAAUGGACCUUGUGCUUUGUCUGCAGCUUUGAUAUUUUUGGUAUAGGAGCUGCUCAUAAUCUGGUGGGAGAAAUCGAGUCCUCAUCAGCCUUUUCAUCUUGUGCCACACAAGGACGGGUUGCUUGCCUUGUCGUCUCCAGUUAUUUUGAGUCUGUUCCCACCAAGCUGAUGCGCCACCAUGUAGUUUAUAGGCCACCAAUUUCACUUGUUGAUUCUCUGGUAUUUGCAUAUAGUCAAAAAAGUUCUCCACUUCCAGGAGCCAAUCAAGGAAGCUUUCGACGUGGAGAUGUCCAUUGAAACAUGGUAGAUCAAUUUUUAUUUUGAAGUUGGAAUUACCGUUGCGACCCCUUUGAUUUUCUCCUACCGCUGCGUCCUCAAGUUCAUCCUCACUGGAGGAAUCGUCUCCAGUGUUGCCUAUUGGUGGCUGUCUGAGUCCCCUCCCUCUAGGGUGAGCAUGAUCCCGUUGCCUUUCAUUAUGGUCUCUAUUGCCUUCCACAUGGAGGUUGGUAAUAGACCUUUGGAUCUCCUGCAAGACGCGCUCGAUCCUUUCGAACCGCUGCUGGUUUUGUUGGUUUUGCAUUUGGAUGGAUUCCCAAAGGGCAUCAUCUCGAGGAUGGUUGUUAUCAUUUCUUGCCAUUGAACCAGGCGAAACCUUGCUCCGAUGCCAAUUAACGUAGUAGAAACGUACAAAUAUAGGAAAAUUCAAGAAGAGCUGUGUCUUCUCAAACAAUGAAUCAUAAGUUUAUUGAUAAACUCUGUAAUGCUUACAAUAAUUCAGAUCAUCCCCCAUUACAUUAUUCGGUUCCUUAAUAAAGGAAGCUUAGGCAACUUAGGAAAUUAAUUCAAAAAAGAAAUUAGACUACUGUAACGUUAACAACUAAGGUAACUUUUAUUGGAAUGGACAUAAAAUCUGCAAGAGUUUUUUUAAGAAAGAAUAAAAUCGGCAAUCAUCCUUGAUUUGUGCUUGAAUCUUCUGAUGGUCCCUACAUUCCUGGUGUCACGUCUGCUGCAUCAGUGUAAUUCUGCUCAACUUGCAUCUGGUUUGAAGGCUUGCAGGUGCUAUUGUCUGAUGCAUCCUUAAUACGAGAAACAUCAAUUUGUGUCAAGAAGUGCUGCUGCAAGAUAUGUAGAGGAAAGAUUGAGAUCAAGAGGGUCGAGAACACUACCAAUCGUCAAGUCACCUUCUGCAAGCAGGGUAAUGAACUCUUGAAGAAAGGUUAUGAAUUAUCAGUCUUAUGUGAUGCAGAAGUAGCAUUCCUCGUCUUUUCUAGUUGUGGACGCCUCUAGGAGUACUCAAACAAGUAAAUUAAUUUCCUCUUUAUUUUUCAUUUUUGAUUGCUCAACAUAUUAAUGAUGAUCUGCUCCUCAAAUUGAUUAUCUGCAAUCUAUAUAUAAGAUAUCUUGUUCAGCUUCUUUACUUAGCUAAGACAUUAGUGGUGUGCAAUCUAUCAUUGUUACUUGAGAAGAUUACGGUGGAUCUAUAUUUCUUGUUAGGUUUAUUCAUAUUGUCCAUAUAUAUAUAAAGAUUUUAAUAGUGCUAGAUUUAGUUAUUUCAAUGAUAAUUAUAUAUCCUAUAAAGGGAAGACAACAAACCCUUGGUACUGCAUGUGUGUUGCUAUUUCAAGUAUUAUAUUUUUUAUGUAUUCUACUUUAGUGCAAUUUUGUUUUUUAUAUUUUGUGAAAAAUCUUUUCCGGCCAGUGAACUUUGUCGGAAAAAUUUUAUCGCCAGAAAAUUGUUUUUGAAAAUAGUCUUUCCGGUGAUUUACUGCCGCUGGAAAUAACUCCAUUGGACCUGUUAGAUUAUUUCCGGCGAGUCAUUAACACCGAUAAAAGUAUUUCUGGUAACAAAAAUUGCCAGAAAAGAUUGCUGGCGAGAUUUAACCAUGGUUUAAACCAUAUUUAGUGGUGCUUUUUUAAAACCAUCUGCGCGCGGUAAAAAAACUUUUUUGGCAAGCUCACAAAGGUUAGCCGGAAAAUUCUUUUUUGCACUAGACAAUUGUGGCAAUAGUCCAGGGAGCAAACUUUUGCCGAAAAUAAGUUAUCUUAACGAUUUAUAGGUGUUUUGCAGCUACUUUUGAUAGUCGGAAAAAACCAAAUUUCUUGUAAUGAAAACUUGGGGACGAGAACAAUUGGUAGCACAAAUUGGCAAAUAUGAAGAAAUAUUUUUUCAAGCCAAAAGAACCACAAACCUGAAGAUUUAAUCAUUGGAUACUUGUGUAUAAUGGAAUGGGUCUAGUGUCUAUAAUGUUAACACCAGGUAACUUACCCAAAAAGCCAUUCAGUGCAUGGUUAACAUGUAUAGAAAACUAAGGAACAUGGGAUUUUUCUAUAAUCUUGUAUUUAAAAUCUCUAGUGGUGCUUAAUAUUCAUAUAAGUAUACUCAUCAACUUUGAAGAGAAUACUGCAUUUUUUGGUUUUUCCCGAUUUUCUUACUUUUUGGUUUGCCAGAUUUUACAAUCAUUGCAAGUAAGCUUUUCUAAAUAUCAUCAUUUUUUCAUUAAUUAUCGCUAAGGUGAUAUGCAUAAUGCUUGUCUAAUCCAGUGUUAAGAGUAUGUUUAUUCUUGGAAAUGAAGUCUAAAACCCUGGAAUCUGCAUCAAUUGAAUUCCAUGCUAGACAAUGAUAUCUAUUUCAGAUUCUUUUGCGUUCAGACUGUACUUAGCAAUUAUUAUCAACUGAUUUUCAGGCAGCAUCUAUGUUCAAAGGACCAGUUCCUCCCAUCGUCCCAUUUUCUUUAGGGUCUCUUGGCUUUAUGACCCCUUUCCGUAUCUUCCUCCUUGUUUAAAGGCAUUUGUUUCUCUAACAAUUUGAUAAUCCAAUGACGCCACUUUAUACAAUGGCCUCAGCCACCCACACCUUUUUAUGACAUCUUUCACAUAAUUGUUGGCUUUCUCCUAUCUGACUGGAAGUUGGUCCUUCAUAUUCUUCAAACUGAAAUUAACACAGAAUGCCUUGACUCUGUUUCUGAGGGUUCAAUUAGCUAGUAUCACAUUACAACACCGUUUGCAGUGUCAUGUUAUUAGGGAUGCGGCUAAAAAUGAGUAUGAUACUGAAGAACCAAUACUUGUUUUGAAUGAGGUUACAAUUGAUUGUGGAAUAUCAUCAUACCUUACAAAAUUGGAAUGCUAUUGUGACGACAGCUAUGUUUUUGCCUCCAUAUCUUACAAUAAGAACAGUGUUAUAUAAUUUAGGCACGUAAUCUUACAAGGAAAUUUAUUUCUUUGGGUUGUAUAGGGUAAUUCAUGCUUAAUAUCCAGAAAGAUAUUCGAGUUAGAAUAUCUUAUAUUGAAGGCUACAAUGAAUUUUCCUUGUGUGAUCUUGCAAGUGGAAAGCCUAUACCAAUUGAAAAAGCCGCUUGCCUAUUAUAGAUAAUUACUGCAACUUGUGUAGCUUUGUUUUAGCUGUACCUGCUGAUAAACAAUACUAUUUGCAUAACUUUCACACAGGAAAUAUUUUUGUUUUCCUCUUAUAAAGGGAAGCAACAUAUGCACACCAUAUAGAUACAAUCAAUCAAAAUAAUUAUGGUGUUUGAGAUGCUUGUAACAUACAGAUGGCAGCUGUUUAAUUUGCAUUGAAAGCAUGUUAAUUGUGUGAUAGUAUGUGUACUUGCUCUGGGAAAAUGUUUUACAAUCCUGGCACAAAUGCUCUAAAUGUGAUUUUUCAUCAAGAAAAUGAUUGUACUACCAGUAUGCGUAAUUGCGCCUUGGCCUGUGCCCACAGCUUGUCUGGUUGAUUCCACAAGUGACUUCUUACGCAGCAUCCAUGAGGACCUCCACUGGAAUCUAAGAAAGACCCCGUCUUUUGAUGGUCCUCGAGAUUCAUAAUUUCCUUUCUCUCCAUUAGUUUAUUACAGAUGAAAGAAAGAAAUUGUAGAUGUUAUUUACUUAUUUUCUGAGACGCACUGCAUAGUGUCAUCGUAGAAGGGGCCUUGGGGGAUGUAACUUAAUUUUUUUUUGCUCCUUUUCUUAUUAUUCUAUCCCCCAUAUGAACAGCUGAAUGUCAGCAGAUAAUGAUGAAAAGUAGAAGAUAGAAAGUGUUUGUUAUAGGAUCAACGUUUUAAUUGUCAAAGACAAACUUGUAGGGUUUCACUUGUUUACUAUAUGAAUAUAUCUGGGCAUAUAAAAUUGUUGAA